UAAAUAUUUUUUUAAAAAAAUUACAACAUAGAAUUAAACAAUGGGUAAGAGCCUUUACCCAAAAAAAAAAAUAAUCGGACUUCUAACUGGUCAUCUAAAAAUCAAAUGUUGGGACAUCACCAGAAGUGGCAGAAAAUGCUCUAUACAUGGUUCGAUCGAUGAAGUUCCGGUAAGGAUCCUCCUCUCUUUUCUUAAGCAAAUAAUUCAUGUUAUUUUGAACUUCAGAUUUUACCUGCAAGUAUAAUUCUCUUGCUUUUUCUCUAUCUUUCACCAGGUCUUGCCUUCCCUUUGUAUGAAUUGGUUUCCCAAAAAAGAAGUAAAAACGACCGGGUAUCUUAGGUAAAAGGCCAGGGAUAUACAACAUUUGGUUGGCAAUCUCCCCGUCCAUGUCCGCCCUGACUGCUAAGCCCCUCCUGGCUGCCUCUUCGUUCUCACUCCUUAUCCGAUCACCCAAUAUAGGUAUACUUUUUAGGUCGUCAUAGUCGAGAACUAACUGUGCUAUAUCAUCUUCUCCUACAACCCCAAAUGGCACAAUUGUCGCACCAAAUUUUGCAGCCAUUCUGAUGAAUUCUGGUUGGUCAGGCCAUAUCACCUUGUACUCUUCUCCCUUACGAUGUAAGGCCUCACGGGCACCACCAGGAUACAACAGAACAUGUGACUUUGUUGCAAGCAACUUAAAAAAGUUGCUGGCAGUGACAGGUGUAGCUCCAUAUAGUUUCAGCAUAUCAAUGAAUGAGCUUGCAUCAGGUCGACUCUCAACCAGCUGAGUAAACAACGAUGGAUGUGCUAUUCCACGAAGUAAAAUUUUCGUCUGCAUCAUAUAUUCUUGAACAAGAGGGACAAUUUCUAAACCCAUAAGCAUGUGAUAACCGACCAACAAUACAGGGCCUUCACGUGGGACCCCCGCUAGACCUCUAACAAUUUUCCCAUUUUCCAUCGUGGACAGCAUAACUGGUCCAGUAAUAUUGAGAUACCAACUAUUGUUCUUGAUUGCGUUCUUGAACUCUGACUUACUAGGAGGCAGAAAAUCUUUGACAUAAUCACGCCUUUUUGAACGACGAUAUUUGCUAGUAGCUUUGAUGAUGGAUAGCAGAUUAAUACCAUCUUCCAAUAAAAUAGUAUGCCCGUUGUCUUUGAAGUAUCGUACUGUGCAGUUUCUUAAUGAAUUUCCAAGCCUCUGAGCUUCAUUCUCACUUGGAAGCAUGUUAUCCUUGCCACUAGCAAUCACAAGUACUUCAGCAUUAACAGCAUGGAGACGGGAAUUUGAAUAAGAUGAAGCAGAUCUUAGAAGCUUCAACUUCCAGAGAAGAGUUUCCUUCGGUAUAAUAUCAGCUAAACCAUAGAGGUGGGCCAGCAAAUCAGUGAGGUUGCCAGCGAGACGUUGAAUAAUUUGUCCAGGAGGAAGCAUUGAAUCAAUGUUAACCAUCG
rnacentral:misc_RNA from 1 species